UUUUGGACAAUGGGCGAAAGCCUGAUCCAGCAAUGCCGCGUGUGGGAAGAAGGCCUUCGGGUUGUAAACCACUUUUGUACGGAACGAAAAGGUCUGCCCUAAUACGGUGGGCCCAUGACGGUACCGUAAGAAUAAGCACCGGCUAACUACGUGCCAGCAGCCGCGGUAAUACGUAGGGUGCGAGCGUUAAUCGGAAUUACUGGGCGUAAAGCGUGCGCAGGCGGUUAUAUAAGACAGUUGUGAAAUCCCCGGGCUCAACCUGGGAAUUGCAUCUGUGACUGUAUAGCUAGAGUACGGUAGAGGGGGAUGGAAUUCCGCGUGUAGCAGUGAAAUGCGUAGAUAUGCUGAGGAACACCGAUGGCGAAGGCAAUCCCCUGGACCUGUACUGACGCUCAUGCACGAAA
rnacentral:rRNA from 1 species